CCAAAAAGCAUGGCUCCCAGAGGGAGAGC
rnacentral:sRNA from 1 species